GUGUGUGUGUGUGUGUGUAAAGGAGAAAUAGUCUCUCUCUCUCUCUGUAAAGGAGAAAGAAGCUACAGGGAAGAAGCAAGAAGAAGAAAAUAAGGGAAGAAAAAAGAAGGAAUAAGUGGCGGGGUCCAGCUUCGGGCAAGCAAAGUCAUUAGUAAUGGCGCAGGACAUAGAAGACAAGAAGCACUACUUGUUUCUCCACCACCCAUUGCCCAAUAUUUCAGGUGCAUUGACCAAAAUGCCCUUCAAAACUAAGGGGAGAGUACCAACUCAACCAACACCAUUCCUUGCGAGAAAUUUUAGAGGCAGACAGGAUGGAGCCAGGCAAUUCUAAUUAUAGUUUUCUCAUGUAUUUUUAUUUGGUAAAUUCCAAAGUAAUUCUACAUUAUUAUUGUUCAAGAUUUAUAUACACAUAUACCAACUACCCUUCAAUUCUUUCUGUGUGUGAUUCUUCUAAGGUGAAGAAGGAAUAAGAUGUUUAAAGCCUAAUGGGUUCGUUGGUCGGUCAUCCUCUUCAUGGGUGAAAAGUUCAUGGGAAGUAUAAACAAUUUAUAAUUAAGGGAUCUGAUUUAGUUCUGUAUCUAAUCUGAGUUUUUAAUUUUCACUUUAUCUCGUAAUGAUGAUCGAUGAUGCUGCUGCUGCUUCUUUGUUGCAUUUUCUUUCAGAUAUUCCCUUGGAUUUCAUCUGUUUAAAUAUGUGUAAUUCUACUGGAUUUAUGUAAUGAACACGAGGCUCCUAUUGGCUACCAACAAACUAAGUCACGAUUUUCUUAUCAUCCAA